rnacentral:tmRNA from 1 species
GGGGGUGCAUGGUUUUGAUUAAAGAUAAAUCCUCUACGGGGACUCUUUAAGACGCGAGUUCGAUUCUCGCCACCUCCACCA